rnacentral:rRNA from 1 species
GGGUUGUCAUGCCAAUGGCAUUGCCCGGUAGCUACGUUCGGAACUGAUAAGCGCUGAAAGCAUCUAAGCGCGAAGCAGGCCUCGAGAUGAGUUCUCACUAGACUUUUAAAGUCUCUGAAGGGCCGUUGAAGACUACAACGUUGAUAGGCAAGAUGUGGAAGUGGUGUGAGCCAUUAAGCUAACUUGUACUAAUUACCCGUGAGGCUUAACCAUACAACGCCAAACGCGUUU